AAAACAUUGUCUCAUGAAUAAAAUAUGAGAUAGUACCUGCCCAGUGACGAAUCUGUUCAACGGCCGCGGUAUCCUAACCGUGCAAAGGUAGCAUAAUCACUUGCCUAUUAAUUGUAGGCUAGAAUGAAGGGGUUAACGAAAUAAAGACUGUCUCAAUUAACCAACUAAAAAUUAUUUUCUAUUUGAAGAAAGGUAGAUAAACUCGAAGGACAAGAAGACCCUAUAGAGCUUAAUUUUAACUAUAGAAUUAUCCUAUAAAAAUAUUCGGUUGGGGCGACCCAGGGCUAAUUAAUCACCCAAUUUAUAAAAGAUAUAUAAAUCAAGUAAGUGACCCUUAAAGAUCACAAGAACAAGCUACCUUAGGGAUAACAGGCUAAUCCCACUCAAGAGUCCUUAUCAACAGUGGGGAUUGGCACCUCGAUGUUGGCUUAGGGUAUCUAUAUAGCGCAAAAGUUAUAUAAAGAUGGUUUGUUCAACCAAUGACACCCUACGUGAUC
rnacentral:rRNA from 1 species